rnacentral:rRNA from 1 species
UCAAAUGUAUGUUGACGUAUUCUGAAAGGGAGUACUUCUUCGGACAAUAUACAAGGUGCUGCAUGGUUGUCGUCAGCUCGUGCCGUGAGGUGUCGGGUUAAGUCCCAUAACGAGCGCAACCCCUAUCAUUAGUUGCCAUCAGGUCAAGCUGGGGACUCUAAUGAAACUGCCUACGCAAGUAGUGAGGAAGGUGGGGAUGACGUCAAAUCAGCACGGCCCUUACGUCCAGGGCUACACACGUGCUACAAUGGCCGGUACAAAGGGCAGCUACCUGGUGACAGGAUGCUAAUCUCAAAAGCCGGUCUCAGUUCGGAUCGGAGUCUGCAACCCGACUCCGUGAAGCUGGAAUCGCUAGUAGUCGCGCAUCAGCCAUGGCGCGGUGAAUACGUUCCCGGGCCUU